CGGAGCGCGGCCGCCGGCGCCUGCGCGGGCCGGUCUGCCCUCGGGGAGUCGGCGCCCAGGGGAGGCGCUCGGCCCGCGCGCGCCGGCCGCGGGAGGCUGCGGGGCCGGGCCCCCGGGAGCGGCGCAGAGACACGGGCCAGCUGAAAUGAGCUUCACGAAGUUGUCGUUGAGCGCGAUGCCGGCUUUAGCAUCGAAGACGGACGAGUGGGUGUCGCCGAUAAAGUCCGUAGAGACAACCUGGGUGCCAGAAUUUCUGAGGAAGCAUGUAUUGAGCAUCUGCUGUGUGCCAGGCCCUGAGAAGAUGGCUGGAGCUAUGGAAGUGAAAGGAUAGUCCCCAGGUCCUUGCCUUCUUGGAGUGCACGUGCUCGCAGGACCAGCAGUGACUGAAAUGGAAUUUCAGGUCUGAAGUGAUGAGCCAGGUGUGGAGGUUGUGGGGCCACCACAGACCACUGGAGGGGCACCUGCAAGCUGGGGUUCAGCCUUGCCGAGAGUUACACAGAAUUUAAAAGACUCUACCACUGGCGGGCCUUUCCUCUUGAAACCAGUCUCUUUCUAUUAAAGUCACACACUAAUCCCGAGAGGAAGCGGUACAGGUUCCCUGCCAUCCAUCCUGCCCAGCCCUCGCCCCAACUCACCAUCAGUCCUUCCACAAUCCCGAAUCGCUCAUGGACGACCUUGGCAAGGGGGGCCAGGCAGUUGGUGGUGCAGGAUGCAUUGCUGAAACAGCCCAGUAUGCAGGGGAACUGUGAGGCUGGCAUGUUCUCUGGACAUCACCCACCCACUUCUGGAUGUUGCUGCCCGUUACCUGACAACUUUCAUGGAAUCAGGAUUAUAGUCCUUUUCAUUCACCCCCAUGACAAACAUGGGUGCAUCUGGUGAGGGUGCGCUGAUGACCACACGUAAGGCACCCGCCUGGAUGUGGCUCUAGGGAAGGAGGAAGGAGCACUGGUGUCAUGAACUGAUGAGAUGCUUUGAGUGUCACCCCCCCUGGCCAGCCCCGCCCACUUCUCCCCACUUACGGAAGCUUCCUCUUGGGACAGAUUCUGGACAUAUCUUUAUAUGGAGGAAAAUUAACAUCAAUAACUAUGUGAAAUGGGGCCAAGAGGCAUGCAUCAGACAGCUGCCCUUACCACUGGAAGACACUGAUCUCCUGUUUAUCCACAACCAGCCGUCCAUUCUUGUAUUCCACAGUCCCCUUGUAUCGGCCAUGAGUGGAGUCAUACUUAAACAUGUACACCUGUGGGAGACAGAAUGGCUCCUGAUCUUUGGGGUGGCAGGGGUGGGGGAGCAAGCAUCCCUAAGGAAUCCCUGCCUUGGUGAAGGUUUCAUAUUGCACCUGAGAACCUCCCAGAGAGCACCCCUGAACCCCCGAUUCUACCCUUUACCUACUACUCACCAUGUAUUCCGGGUCAAUGAAUGGAUCAUUCACUGCCACCACCUUAACGCCUUUCUGCAUGCAGGCUCGCAGCACCAGGCGACCGAUACGUCCAAAUCUGUCCAGGACGGGUUUGGGGUUGUCUUCAGAAUCCUCAGCCAGCAGGCAGAGGAGGGGAAGGAAAGAAGGGGGCAGCAGGAGGCUCCUCAAGGGGACUGGGUGGGACGACUCGGUCUCGGGGAAGAAGGCAGCCAACCCUCUGCAGGCAGCUAUUAUCUUGCUCAUGAUCUCACCAGCUUAACUGAUUUGCCUGCUUCCUCACCCAGCCAUUCUUUACCCCAUUCCUAAUCGUGUAGUUGGAUGGAUCUUAAAGAACUUCAGGCCCGAUUACGUCUCUUGGCCUGAAAGCCUCUACAGCUCUAUCAGUAAAACUAGAUCCAAAUUCCUUACCAUGGCUUACGAGGCCCAUCUGCUUUCCAACACUCCUUCCUCUUCUGCCUUGCUUGCUCCACACCAGCACUGAAUUCCUGCCUGUCCUUUGCAUACUGUGCUGCCACCUGUGCCCCCAAGCCAUUGCUUGCUGCACAGCUGCCACUCAGGCCUCACUCCAGUGUCAUCUCCCAGAGGUCUUUCCUGACACCCCAGCUAACACUGGCCUCUCCAGUCUUACUAUACUUCAUACUGUUCAUUCACACAUCACCAAACAAAUGUUCCUUAUUUGAUGUUUUCCCACCAGAAUGUGAGCUCUCUUAGGGGACAAAGCCCUGUCUACUCCCCCCCCCCCCCCCUUCUCCAAGGUGGACAGAGUGAAAGCACUGAUGGUGUGAAAUGUGGAGAUGCCCUAUUCAGUAACUGGAGGAAUGCCUGGGCCCUAUGGCUUCAGGAAGGCUCAGAGGCCAGGGCUGACUCACCCAUUGAUGCCAACAGUCAGUUCCCGAACCACAGGAACUUUCUGAGGUGGAGGAGGAGGUGGAGGAGGUGGUGGAGGUGGAGGAGGUGGGGCUUCCUCCUUGAUAGGCUCUGGCUCUGGUUCUGGGUCUGGCUCUACCACUGGCUCUGGCUCUGGCUCUGGCUCUGGCUCAACUUUGGGUGGUGGCGGCGGCGGUGGUGGUCUGGUUACUGUUGGAAGGAGUGGGGGUGGCAAUGAACUGCACCAUCACAGUGAGAGAAAAUGAGCUGUGUUUCCCAAACUUACCUGAUCCACAAAAUGAACAGAGGAUGGGCUUGCUUUAAGAUAUCAAUGCCAGGGCCUUCCCUGGUAAUUCUAAUUCAGUGGGUACUGUGUAUCUUUAACAGUUGCUUGGGAUGGCCGAAACCGUCAGUUUCCUCCUUUCUAAAAUGGAGAUAAUAGUACUCUCAGAGGGUCACUGUGAGGAUUAAAUGAAGUAAUAAUAUAUGUAGCGCUUAUGACAAUAGUCUGGGAACAUUCCACAUACAUUAGUAUUUCAAAGGCCUUUUCCCAAAUGGUCUGAUAAUUCAUGUAGCCCACUGGUCCCCAAAAUGUUCUGAUAAGCAUCAUCCAGAAAGUGCCUCCGAGGGAAAUCUGACUCAGUAGGUCUGUUUUGAGGCUCAAGUGUUUCGAAGGAGCACUUCAGGUGAUUCUUACCCUCAGAAAAGUUUAGGAAAUACAGAUAUACCAGAACAUGAAACAAAUGGAGAUCUUUAUCAGCUCCCGGUUCUCUAAACAUACUCCCACUCCCUUACAGCAUAUUUGAACAUCUGUGCUUGGAGGUGUGCCAUCUGAGCUCCAGGUAAAGACUUGAGAGGAGGGGAGAUGUGGAGAGAGCAGUCAGGGAUCUGCCCGGCAGAGGGCUUCAUACUGGGGAUCAGGCACAGUUGUCAUCCCUGCCUCGGCUACUUUGGCAUCUGGCCUUGCGCAAGUUUCCUGUCAUCACAUCCGACCCUCUCCUUGGGGGCUUUUGGGAGGACGCAGUGAGAUCUCAAGGUCCAGUAGUGCUGAUUUUUAUACAGGGGAGGAAGUCUGAUACUCCGUAUUCAUGAGGAAAGGGGGAGAGAAGGGGAUGGAGAGGCCCGAGGAUGAAGGUGGGAGAUGGCUUUGGCACUACUAGAAUCAAAAGCACCUGGGAGGUGGUGUGGCUGGGAGCCAGCGGCCAGCUGGCCUGUUGUCUCCCUGACCUCUCUGGCUGCCACAGACCUUGUGGCCUGAGGCUGGGCUGUGGGUGUUUGCAGUUAGUACAAGUUCAUAAAAGUAUUAGUCUUUAUUGGUGGCAGAGGCCCUGUGAUUAUUGGUGACCUUAGGAUGUUUGCAUUCCUUGGGGUUCUGUUCCUGCUAUAACAGGAGAUUUGUCCAUCUGGAUUAAGAGUAGGG